rnacentral:rRNA from 1 species
UACGUAGGGUGCGAGCGUUGUCCGGAUUUACUGGGCGUAAAGAGCGCGCAGGCGGUCGGAUAAGUCGAAUGUGAAAGCCCCCGGCUCAACUGGGGAGGGUCAUUCGAUACUGUUCGACUCGAAGGCAGGAGAGGGAAGUGGAAUUCCCGGUGUAGUGGUGAAAUGCGUAGAUAUCGGGAGGAACACCAGUGGCGAAGGCGACUUCCUGGCCUGUUCUUGACGCUGAGGCGCGAAAGCUAGGGGAGCAAACGGG